rnacentral:rRNA from 1 species
GACGGGACCCGCACAAGCGGUGGAGCAUGUGGUUUAAUUCGAAGAUACGCGAAAACCUUACCUGGCCUUGAUAUCCUUCAAAUCCUGUAGAGAUACGGGAGUGCUAGCUUGCUAGAAUGAAGUGACAGGUGCUGCACGGCUGUCGUCAGCUCGUGUCGUGAGAUGUUGGGUUAAGUCCCGCAACGAGCGCAACCCUCGUGUUUAGUUGCUAACAGUUCGGCUGAGCACUCUAAACAGACUGCCUUCGUAAGGAGGAGGAAGGUGAGGACGACGUCAAGUCAUCAUGGCCCUUAUGGCCAGGGCUACACACGUGCUACAAUGGAUAGGACAAUGAGACGCAAUACCGCGAGGUGGAGCAAAUCUAUAAACCUAUUCUCAGUUCGGAUUGUUCUCUGCAACUCGAGAACAUGAAGCUGGAAUCGCUAGUAAUCGUAGAUCAGCAUUGCUACGGUGAAUACGUUCCCGGGUCUU